UACGUAGGGGGCAAGCGUUGUCCGGAUUCAUUGGGCGUAAAGAGCGUGUAGGCGGCCAGGUAGGUCGGUUGUGAAAACUGGAGGCUCAACCUUCAGAGGUCGACCGAAACCAUCUGGCUAGAGUCCGGGAGAGGAGAGUGGAAUUCCUGGUGUAGCGGUGAAAUGCGCAGAUAUCAGGAAGAACACCCGUGGCGAAAGCGGCUCUCUGGAACGGUACUGACGCUGAGACGCGAAAGCGUGGGGAGCGAACAGGA
rnacentral:rRNA from 1 species